AACGUAGGUUCCGAGCGUUAUCCGGAUUUACUGGGCGUAAAGCGCGUUCAGGCGGUUUGGCAAGUCGGGCAUGAAAUCUCUCGGCUCAACCGGGAGAGGUUGUCCGAUACUGCUGGACUUGAGGGCAGUAGAGGGUGGUGGAAUUCCGGGUGUAGUGGUGAAAUGCGUAGAUAUCCGGAGGAACACCAGUGGCGAAAGCGGCUCACUGGUCCAUUACUGACGCUGAGGUGCGAAAGCGUGGGGAGCAAACAGG
rnacentral:rRNA from 1 species